CUGAGUCAUCGCUGCGGCGCUGCGGGGACGGCGGGCUAGCAGUUAUUGAGACCAUGUAUUCAGACAAUGGGGGAAAUCUGUGAACUGGGCAUCAGAUGAUGUAAGGAAAAUGAUUGUUAGGUUUGUGAGGUUGAGAUGAGAAAACCCACACAGAGGCCAGGGAACUUUCUCAAAGGCAUAAUGAAUUUUCUCAGGCAAAAAAUACACUGAGGGCCAGCUGUGCAGAAGGCACCACUGAGUGUAAAUUUCAUAACGAUGGAGACCUUGUUAGCUUGCCUGAUUGCUGAACCCCGUUUUCUAGAACUCUGCAGGUCCCCACAGUACAAGGUUAGUAAGUAUUUACUGAAUGUGCACCCAAGUUUGAAAUCACUGUCCUACACAACUGGUUCCUUUUACAGAAGAGAAACUGAGGCCCACUGAGGAGACCACUGCUGCAGAGUUAGUAAGGCGCAGGGCCAGCGCCUGGAUAAAAUCUCAGAUCUCUGAGUCCCAAUUGGGCAUAGGUUUAACUCCGCCCAAAGCAAUUAUUUAGAAAAACCGAAAUGCAGUUGAAAGAAAAAAACAUUUCCUGCCUAUAAACACUCGGCUUAGGGGGCUUGGCCGGGCUGGGGGCCGUUGGUAAUUCGUUCCCACUUUGUAGUCACCCUUGUCCCCAAGGGUUAAGGGCCUGCCUUCGGGCCCGGCGUCGAACCCAACUCAGGGCAGUGUCCCGGCCAGAGCCCGCGGGGAGGAGCCGAGCACGGCCCACGGAGGUGAGGGCGGCUCGCCCAAGGUCACCCAGGCGGCGACCAGAGGGGCCAGGCUCAUGGGGCGCCAGGGAGCCGGCAGUAUCGAUACGUGUUCGAGGUGGAUGGGCACCCCUCUCUUUCACCCUGCAAAUCAAGGGUGACAUUAAUGGCUCCUUCUCCCGAAUUUGGCGCACCCAACCUAAAGAAUGAGACCAGGCCCGGUCGGCCGCGUGGCCCGUUCCCAUGUGCUCCACCUGCGGACGCCCUGACGCGCUGGCCCUUUAAGACACCUCCCCCUCUUCACCCACCCAUCUCUCUUGCCCCCCCCCAUUGCCCUCC